rnacentral:lncRNA from 1 species
UAAGUAACACAUCUACCACUUCGCGAAGAAGCAGCUGAUUUAUUUGACAGUGCCAACACAUCCAAAGACUUCUUUUUCACCGAAGCUAGCAGGAACUAGUUGAAUAGCUACAUCUGUACCUGGGGAGCAAUGGAGAGUCAUACAACCUAGGCGAAGUGUUAGUAAAAAGGUAGUCAGGACAACUUCCACCAUCGUCAACAAGGAGGAAGACUGCUUUUCAGACAGCAAUUAGAUCUUUAGCGGGUSACCGUCUGGAGGAGGAAAAGAUUGCUGAAACGAGUUCCAACACUGAAUAAACAGAGGUC